ensembl:snRNA U1 U1 spliceosomal RNA
AUACUUACAUGGCAGAAGUGAUACCAUGAUCCUGAAGGUGGUUUCCCAUGGUGAGAGGCUUGUCCAAUGCACUCUGGAUGUGCUGACCCCAAGAUUUCCCCAAAUGUGGUCACCUCAGUGGCAUAAUUGGAGGUAGUGGGGAACUGUAUUUGUGCUUUCUCCUA